rnacentral:lncRNA from 1 species
CACAACAAUUUCCUGUUCAGCUUUACUCUGUGAGCAAAAGCAGAGACCGAGGUUGGCAAGCAGUAAUGGGAGAGCCGGGGCUCUCCCCCAGCCCCCAGAGAGCCUGCUUUCUCCUGCCCUGCUCUCGGCAUAAGCCGCUUCAGCCACGGGGUGAUCCUCUUGAAUCGCUUUUUAACCGAGUCAAGAAGACUUCUAUGGCAACAGCCUUGUUUGUGUCCUCGCUCCAGACUUUGCUGCUGAUCACCCACAGCCUUUUGGUUCCCCUGUCCGUGUUACAACGCAGCAGGAAGACUCAGAGGACACAUAGUGAGGCACCAAACCCUGUUGAGACCAGCAACUAAGGACUAAAAUGCCUUUUGUUUGGUGGAAGCUGUUCUGGGCCAUGAUGCAAGCCCCACUGCAAGCAUGGAUCUGAGAGCCUGAGACCGUGGUGCAGAACCUCCAAAGGUUUAUUUUUAGGGAGGCAACGUACAUAUGAGGAGAAAAAAGAGACUAUUAUGAAAAGUAGAGGGACUCAAAUAGCAGCUGUAAAAACUAAAACUUCCAACAAUACAACAAACAGAAAAUUACAUUUCCCUUCAUUGUGUGGAAGGAAUGAAGCUUCCAACCAGCUGUGGAGGAAAUAAGGAGUUUACAUUAUUAGCAGUGUCAGUGAAGAUCAACAUACAUAUUUCCUGUCUGUCUCCCUUUACAAAUUAGCAAAACUUUGACAAAAAAAAUUCUUUUAAUUUUAUUCCAUUUUUUCUGUUUCUGUGGGGAGAACAUGCACCCCAAGCAGUAUGGUCACGAACAGCAUAGCUGAGAAAGUGCCAUGGGAAACUGAGCAAACAGGGGAUCAAAAGAAAAAAGACAGAAAUGGUUGUGAUGCCAGAGCAAUGCAAUUCUGCCCUUCACAUUUCUGGGCCCAGACACAGCAGCAGCUUGCGGGCUUGUGUUGAUGUCUGUGGUCUCACAGAACAGUGUAUGCCAUUUACUCACAAACCCAAGCCCAAAGAUUUUACAACAUCUCUUUCCAUGCAGAAAAUUACCUCCCCCUUUGUUUGUUUUAAGUUUCAAAGCAUUGACAUAUAAAUUUAAAAUAUUAAAAGAAAAAUGCCAUAUUCAGUCUUGGUGCUUGUUUAUUCAGUCUGUAUAAGCAGAAAUCACAGCCCAUAUGUACCAGAGAGUUUUCCAUGUCAUCC